rnacentral:rRNA from 1 species
UCCAGACUCCUACGGGAGGCAGCAGUGGGGAAUAUUGCACAAUGGGCGAAAGCCUGAUGCAGCAACGCCGCGUGAAGGAAGAAGGGUUUCGGCUCGUAAACUUCUAUCAACAGGGACGAAAGAAAUGACGGUACCUGAAUAAGAAGCCCCGGCUAACUACGUGCCAGCAGCCGCGGUAAUACGUAGGGGGCAAGCGUUAUCCGGAUUUACUGGGUGUAAAGGGAGCGUAGACGGUUAUGUAAGUCUGGAGUGAAAGCCCGGGGCCCAACCCCGGGACUGCUUUGGAAACUGUGUAACUGGAGUACAGGAGGGGCAGGCGGAAUUCCUGGUGUAGCGGUGAAAUGCGUAGAUAUCAGGAGGAACACCGGCGGCGAAGGCGGCCUGCUGGACCGCGACUGACGUUGAGGCUCGAAAGCGUGGGGAGCGAACAGGAUUAGAUACCCCUGUACG